rnacentral:rRNA from 1 species
UACGUAGGGGGCAAGCGUUAUCCGGAUUUACUGGGUGUAAGGGGAGCGUAGACGGCAGGGCAAGUCUGGAGUGAAAGGCGGGGGCUCAACCCCCGGACUGCUCUGGAAACUGCCAGGCUGGAGUGCAGGAGAGGUAAGUGGAAUUCCUAGUGUAGCGGUGAAAUGCGUAGAUAUUAGGAGGAACACCAGUGGCGAAGGCGGCUUACUGGACUGUAACUGACGUUGAGGCUCGAAAGCGUGGGGAGCAAACAGG